rnacentral:misc_RNA from 1 species
AUUAAAUUAUGUACACAAACUGAGGCGAUAAACAUUAUCGUUUGCAUCAAGAUGUAAGUCAGAGAAAACAGAACAAAGAAGACUCUUAAUGUCGAGUCUCCAGGAAGCCGUGGUGGCCGGAGACGAACAAAGGGUCAAGGACAUUCUACAGACGUGCGAUCCUCCAAAGGAACAACUCAAGAGUUGUCUGUUCUUUGCUUGUGGGAGCGGGCGGACUAACUGUGCGGCGCUGAUUCUGGAGAGCAGCCGACUCUCUCCCGACAUCCAUAAUGACGAGGAGUUCACACUGCUCACCCUCUCCACGCGCGGCGGUCACGCCUCAGUGGUGGACAUGCUGUUACGUUGGGACGGUGACGUCAAUUUGGCGGGACCAAUGGGGAACACACCCUUGCACUAUGCGUGUAGCGAGGGAUACAUAGAAUGUUGUCAUAUUUUACUACGCUGCACUUUGCUGCACAACAUGGCGAUUUGGAAUGUUGCCGUCUGCUGCUUGAUGCGCGCGCGGAAAUCGACGCCCAGGACAUCCGCCGAUUCACCCCCGUCAUGAUGGCGGCCCUUUACGGGCACGAACACAUCGUAAAUUUCCUGAACGAACGGCGAUGUAACGUGAACAUGGCGGCAUACAACAAACGGACGGCACUACACUGGGCAUCAGAAAGGGGAAGCCUGAAGUGCUGCGAAUCUCUUCUCAAAUUCGGCGCUAAUAUUGACGCUCAAGAUACUUUGGCCUGUACGCCAAUAUACAACGCUGCCGUUAAAGGUCAAACGGAAGUGGUGAAAUUCUUAAUCCAGAAAGGAGCAGACCUAACUAAACGACCAAAUAACGGCAAUUCGUUACUACACUUUGCAGCCACAGGUGGCAGUGUCCCGUGCUGUCAGGAAAUCAUCAGAGCAGGUUUCAGUGUCGACAUUCAGAACCAGGACGGCCUGACCCCUCUGAUAUCGGCGGUGAAUUACAAACAGAUACAGGCCGUCAAGUUCUUCCUGGACGCCGGCGCGGACACCAACGUCCGCGGUCUACACGGGAUGACAGCGCUAAAUGAAGCAGUGUUUUACAACAGUCCACAACUCGUGGCCCUGCUGCUUGAGCGAGGCGCGGAUCCAAACGUUGGGGACGAUGCGGGCACGCUUCCUCUAUGGUUCGCUGUGGACGGCUUCAGCAUAGAAUCCGUCAAGUUACUCUUAAGGGCCAACUGCAAUUUUGACACACAGUCAUCCUUGAGUAAUUACUGUGGCCCGUGCAACCCAGUGGAACACUCGGUGCACAAACGGAAGGAGCUGGUCCUGCGGUGGAUAGUCAGUGCCUACUGCGAGGAAGCGGUCAACAUCUUGAGGAAGCACCUGCCGGUCCUCGAGAAAAUGACCACCAUAGAAGACGUGAUGAAAUGUAAAGUGCGCGAAAUAGCGGGCUCCCCCGGAUCUCUAAUGGAACACUGCCGCAAACACGUCAGGAAAACGUUUGGAAGCGGCGGGAAUAUACAAGACAAAAUCAAGCUUCUCAAACUGCCAACAGCAUUACAGGACUAUCUGUUGUUCUCCGACUUCGAUAUGGAUUGAGUUGGACGCAAAUUUUUAACAAUUAGCCUUUAUUUGUACUUUUUACUUAAUCAGCAACAUAUUUAUCAUUCUUUACUUAUACAUGUACAGUAUUUAAGAUAUAUUUAUUGUUAAAUGUUGCCACUGUUUAUCUAUUGAUCACGUGAUCUGACUAUACUGUUGUAUUUUUUUAAUAUGCCUGCCAGCUCAUAUUACACUCACUUGGCUUAUUUAUUUUAACUAAAAUUCAAUAUUAAAUGCAUUGCAAACAC